AUUUUUAUUUUUGUUUUAUUGUCUCCAAAGCUAAAUGGAUUUUUAUUGUUUUUUUUUUAAAGGUAAUGAGUCAUGAAUGAUGAAUCUGCUGCCUGCUAAAUGCGUCCUUCAGUCAGAUGCUCUUAAAGAGACCCGUCGACUGCUCGUGCUUCGGAGUCUACGCGGAGUUAGCUGUUUGCCAAAAUUCACGUGGAUACGCAAGCAAUUUAUGAUUUGAAAGCUGGGUCGACUCCGAUUCUUUAUUUUUCUCAGAGGUUUUUAUGUCAUUUAAACUAGUCAACUGUUUUACUUCUUAGACUGCAGUAAAACUAGUUUAUUGUUUGGAUAUUAUACUUUGGAUUGUCGUGUUAGCACGACUGAUUUAUUAUAAUUUGAGCAUGUUCUUUAUGGAUUAUUA